GCAGGGGAGAGUUUGAUCCUGGCUCAGAUUGAACGCUGGCGGCAGGCCUAACACAUGCAAGUCGAGCGGCAGCACAAGGGAGUUUACUCCUGAGGUGGCGAGCGGCGGACGGGUGAGUAAUGCCUAGGGAUCUGCCCAGUCGUGGGGGAUAACAGUUGGAAACGACUGCUAAUACCGCAUACGCCCUACGGGGGAAAGGAGGGGACCUUCGGGCCUUCCGCGAUUGGAUGAACCUAGGUGGGAUUAGCUAGUUGGUGAGGUAAUGGCUCACCAAGGCGACGAUCCCUAGCUGUUCUGAGAGGAUGAUCAGCCACACUGGGACUGAGACACGGCCCAGACUCCUACGGGAGGCAGCAGUGGGGAAUAUUGCACAAUGGGGGAAACCCUGAUGCAGCCAUGCCGCGUGUGUGAAGAAGGCCUUCGGGUUGUAAAGCACUUUCAGUAGGGAGGAAAGGU
rnacentral:rRNA from 1 species